rnacentral:rRNA from 1 species
GAGUUUGAUCCUGGCUCAGGACGAACGCUGGCGGCGUGCUUAACACAUGCAAGUCGAACGAUGAACCACUUCGGUGGGGAUUAGUGGCGAACGGGUGAGUAACACGUGAGCAAUCUGCCCUGCACUCUGGGACAAGCCCUGGAAACGGGGUCUAAUACCGGAUACUGACCCUCGCAGGCAUCUGCGAGGUUCGAAAGCUCCGGCGGUGCAGGAUGAGCCCGCGGCCUAUCAGCUUGUUGGUGAGGUAAUGGCUCACCAAGGCGACGACGGGUAGCCGGCCUGAGAGGGCGACCGGCCACACUGGGACUGAGACACGGCCCAGACUCCUACGGGAGGCAGCAGUGGGGAAUAUUGCACAAUGGGCGAAAGCCUGAUGCAGCGACGCCGCGUGAGGGAUGACGGCCUCGGUUGUA